rnacentral:snRNA from 1 species
AAACACUUCGGCGGUACAUAUACUAAAAUUGGAACGAUACAGAGAAGAUUAGCAUGACCCCUGCGCAAGGAUGACACGCAAAAUCGUGAAGCGUUCCACAUUUUU